UAUAGGCUUUUUGAUGUCAAACGUAAAGCUCAGCCGGAAAGCCGGGCUCAGGCAAAUAUCAAGAGAUCAGAAAAGAAAAAACAUAUACCUGUUGUACAUGAUGAGUUGCAUAAAAGUGUGCAAGAUUUACAACACCAAAAGAAAUUG